CGUUAGGUCUGUUUUAUGGGUGAAACUUUGUGUGAACAUGCCAAAGGGUCAAAGGGUGACUUCAACAGCGGAGUUCCCCUCGGCUAUAUUUAGAGCAGGACAACCGCUCGCAGUCUAGGCAUACCAAAGCCGCAGUGCAGGCGUGAAAUCGAUGCAUGUAGCCUACAGAUGAACCAUAGUGCAUACAAACCUUAAAGAAAUAACGCUGAUUACAACUAUUCAAUUGGACUUUGGAUCGUUCAGCUUUUUGUAUGAAAGAGCCAGUAGAGGCAACUUUGUUGUUUAAUUGUUGUCAAAUGCACCCGAGAUUGAUGACUAUUAAUGUAAUAUGAUAGGGUUUUGCUCUUCAUAUUUGCAAUGAGAUCGAAGUUAACGUAGCCCUAUAACUCCAAAUUGAAAUGAGUGUUUAUUAUGUUAAAUAUUUAAUAGGCCUAACGUAUUCCUAUUAUUAUUAAUGGUAUUAUAGUUGUUGUUAUAAUAACUAAUCAUUAUAAUAUUAUUAUAAUAAUAAUUGUUAUAUCUAUUUGACUUAUUCACUCAUAUAAGACAGUGUACUGUGUAACCCAGGCUCGAUGUAGGUCUUAUUUACAUUUGGAUUGUGAGCACGUGAACGCCUAUAGUCUCUUUGUCCACGGCUGGUACCCCUCCGCGCGUCGCUGGUUACGACGCUCAGGCGGCUGCAGGAGCAUCUCCUCUCCUCAUUGUAAAGGCGCCACUGAAAGAAGAUACAAAUCUGCCAUAUCAUAUUGCAUCUUACACGGGGGGACGUCACAAGACGCGAGGCCAACUUCUGCCUAUUCGAAAUGGGCAGUUUGGUGGUGGGCACUGAAACACACACACGCGCGCGCAAGCGAGCGUACACAAGCCCUCGUAGCCGUAGACUCCCGUAGCCACGCAACCGCCGCUCACGUAAAAGAGGAGAGAAUGCAUCUUUCUUUUAAGGGUGUGUGUCUCAGUGUUUCCCCCUCGAGUUCCUGCCUUGGGGCGAUGCCAUGGUGGUUUCUUUCAGAGGAAGGCGGUUUUAUAAUUUCUUAGUGGUUUUUAGGGGUUGGUCAGUAGCAUCGCUGGUGCUGAGGAGACCCAUGUGUGGUUGUUCGCUGUCAAUACAAACAUGUCCCCGGCAUCCGAGGCAUCCGCGGCCAGCGAGAGCAGCAACACCGACACAGUCCCCGAGGAAGAACCCACGGCGGAAAACCCACGAGAGGAGAGUGCACAUCACAGUGACGUAUGGCCCGCCCGUGCUGCCAUAACCCAUC
ensembl:lncRNA